UUNAGGGGCACCCGUUAUCCGGAAUUAUCGGGCGUAAAGAGCUCGUAGGCGGUUUGUCGCGUCUGCCGUGAAAGUCCGGGGCUCAACUCCGGAUCUGCGGUGGGUACGGGCAGACUAGAGUGAUGUAGGGGAGACUGGAAUUCCUGGUGUAGCGGUGAAAUGCGCAGAUAUCAGGAGGAACACCGAUGGCGAAGGCAGGUCUCUGGGCAUUAACUGACGCUGAGGAGCGAAAGCAUGGGGAGCGAACAGGAUUAGAUACCCUGGUAGUCCAUGCCGUAAACGUUGGGCACUAGGUGUGGGGGACAUUCCACGUUUUCCGCGCCGUAGCUAACGCAUUAAGUGCCCCGCCUGGGGAGUACGGCCGCAAGGCUAAAACUCAAAGGAAUUGACGGGGGCCCGCACAAGCGGCGGAGCAUGCGGAUUAAUUCGAUGCAACGCGAAGAACCUUACCAAGGCUUGACAUGAACCGGUAAGACCUGGAAACAGGUCCCCCACUUGUGGCCGGUUUACAGGUGGUGCAUGGUUGUCGUCAGCUCGUGUCGUGAGAUGUUGGGUUAAGUCCCGCAACGAGCGCAACCCUCGUUCCAUGUUGCCAGNGUNGUGAUGGCGGGGACUCAUGGGAGACUGCCGGGGUCAACUCGGAGGAAGGUGGGGACGACGUCAAAUCAUCAUGCCCCUUAUGUCUUGGNCUUCACGCAUNCUACANUGGNCNGUACAAAGGGUUGCGAUACUGUGAGGUGGAGCUAAUCCCAAAAAGCCGNUCUCAGUUCGGAUUGGGGUCUGCAACUCGACCCCAUGAAGUCGGAGUCGCUAGUAAUCGCAGAUCAGCAACGCUGAGGUGAAUACGUNCCCGGG
rnacentral:rRNA from 1 species